rnacentral:rRNA from 1 species
UGGGGAAUAUUGGACAAUGGGCGGAAGCCUGAUCCAGCAACGCCGCGUGAGGGAUGACGGCCUUCGGGUUGUAAACCUCUUUCAGCACAGACGAAGCGCAAGUGACGGUAUGUGCAGAAGAAGGACCGGCCAACUACGUGCCAGCAGCCGCGGUAAUACGUAGGGUCCGAGCGUUGUCCGGAAUUAUUGGGCGUAAAGGGCUCGUAGGCGGUUUGUCGCGUCGGGAGUGAAAACACCGGGCUUAACUCGGUGCUUGCUUUCGAUACGGGCAGACUAGAGGCAUUCAGGGGAGAACGGAAUUCCUGGUGUAGCGGUGAAAUGCGCAGAUAUCAGGAGGAACACCGGUGGCGAAGGCGGUUCUCUGGGAAUGUCCUGACGCUGAGGAGCGAAAGUGUGGGGAGCGAACAGGAUUAGAUACCCUGGUAGUCCACGCCGUAAACGUUGGGCGCUAGGUGUGGGAUCCAUUCCACGGGUUCCGUGCCGCAGCUAACGCAUUAAGCGCCCCGCCUGGGGAGUACGGCCGCAAGGCUAAAACUUAAAGGAAUUGACGGGGUCAUAGCUGUUUCCU